GCCUUGCCCAGGGACCAUGGGAACGAGCCGUCGAGAAUGGUUGACUACACACGGCUGGCACUUCCUGCAAGGAAACCCUAGGAUUGGGGUGCUGAGUAGGGACACGCUCUGAGCAUCUCGGGAGCCUCCAGGGAAAUGGAGAAAACUGACCUUCAGACUUAUCACCACCCUGGAGAAAGGUGUUCAGUCUGCCCAGCUGUGGACCACCCAGUUUUCUUGAGGAGCUUAGAGCGCGCGUCACCAUCUCUCCCUCUCGGACUCCAGUCCUCAGGUUUGAAUCAGAACCUCCGCCCGCCUGCCGUUGGACUGUCAUUGAGCCAGAAAGUGACACUGAGACAACCGAGCUGUCAUUUGUGCUUCGGGAGCUGGUGAAGGGGCAGCAGUGGGAGAGUUGUCUCACACAGAUCUACUCAAAUCCAGAAAACGAGGCACGAUGAAGGUGUAGUGGGUCAGUUCCUAUGCAGAGUGGUUGAAGAGACGGUGACCCACAGGCUGAAAGGUGCCUUCCUCCUCUGGGGCCCCUCAACUCAUCCCGACACUGAGACAAGAUACGCUGGCCGCCUUCUCUCUGCCACCACCCUGUCUUCUGGACCACUAGACUUUAUCAAGUGAAGGUAUCCUCCAUCAGGGCUGCUCCGACUCCUAAGACAUUGAAUGAACUCAAUCCUGAACUUGUGUAUGAACAUGUCCAAAGAAGAUGACGCCUGCUAGCCUUGGAAGGCCCAUUGCUUAUGUGGGAGAGCGGGGAGGCCAUACAGGGGGGCAGUAGCCACCCAGGCUCUGGAAUGACCUCCACGCAGAGCCCAGGACUGAGACGCAUGAGCCAGGGUCAAGGGCUGCUGGUGUGAGGACCCAUAAAGGCUUCGGGGAAGAUCUUGGAGGAUGACCUGUGGGAUUACCUUAGAGUUGUCACCGAGGCUGAGAGGGUGGGGACAUACACACAGGACACACUCUGGGAAACAUAGUGAGCAUUUCUGGUCCUGGGAGAUGCCGAAGGGCAUCAUUAUCAUGGAUAAGAACACAGAUGGUGGGGGCUGGAGAGAUGGUGCAGGGGUUAAGAGCUGGUACUGAUCUUUCGUACAGUCAGAGCUUGGUUUCCAAUACCCACUCUGGGCAGCUCACAGCUGCCUGUGACUCCAGCUGCAGCUGCGGCGAGCAGGCAUCUUCUCCUGGAGACUCUGCAUAACCCUAUAACCCUGCACAAGAGACACACAUAAGCACACAAUUAAACAUUAAUAAGGAAGAGAA